AAGAUCUUGAGAAUAUAGUUAAUUUGAUUAAUGUAAAUUCUUGAAGGCGAUUUGCGUUGUUUAGGUUCACAUAGUUUGGCUUCUGUGUUAUAUAAAAAAUAUUACUUUGAAAUUACAUUAAUCUUGUAUCCAUUUAAAGGUCAAUAUUAACAAUAUUACUGGUGAAAUUCAAUUUAUUGCUGUAAUGAAUAUGGAACGGACGAUGUUUGUUUUACGAAUUUCGAAAGUUUAAAGCUUUUUCAAGAUUUAUAGUGAUUAUGCUGUCAAACAAAUAUAUAAGACGUGUACAGGACAACAUCUGCCGAAUCCGUUAGUUAUAAUUCAAAAUGGACAACUGACUUCCACGAAAUAAAUGGACAAUAUGUAUCUUCAAUGUAGUCGAAAUCAAUUAAAUAUACAUUAGGUUUUGCCCGCAACUUCGUCCGCGUGGAAUAGUUACUUUGGGAUAACACUAAAUUUUACCCGCGACUUCAUUUACGUUGAAGACUUCUCAAAUGGUCCUGUAAUGAUGAGGAUCAGGAUCUGAUGAUGGACUCCUGGAGAAAUCCAGAAAAAUGUAUAAUAUGCUACAAAUGUACAAACUGCGAUAUCUUUUAAGAUAUUCAUUAAACUCAAGUGAUGUAAAGGGCAAAUUUCUUUAAAAUUAAAUACUUGUAAUGAAUAA